GUUCAUUCCUUUUCUAUUCUUUGAGCUGUGAAUACACAUAAAAAAGAUUUUCUCUGGUGUUUUUUUGGACAAAUUUUAUCAUCAAAAUUUCGUAUGAAACGAAAAUCCAUAAAAAAUUUUAAAAUCCAAUAAUUCCGAAAAACUGAAGUACUUUAAAGGAAACGAUCAGGAAUCGAAGGAUGGAAGUGGGCAACACAUAGGUGAAGUUAUACAAUUGUUUAUUAAACUGACAGUACACCCAAGCGAUUAGGAAUAGUAGGAUCAUCAAAGUCCAAUGAAAAGUGCAACAAAUGGUAAAGUUAUAAAAUUGAUUAUUAAACCACAAACGAUUAGAAAUCGAAGGGAUGAAUCGUGAAAAUGAAGAGGAUCAUCAAGGUGCAAUGAAAUGUGCAACAAAUAGGUGAAGUUAUAAAACAGUUUAUUAAACUAACAGUACACCCAAACGAUUAGGAAUCGAAGUGAUGAAUCGCAAUAAUGAUGAGGAUCAUAAAGGUGCAAUGAAAUGUGCAACAAAAUGGAAUCGAAGGAUGAAGGCACUUUAGCCGAAGUAGUUUGCUUUGGAAUAUGUACGAAAUUGAAGGUACCGUAGUGAAAGGAUAAUUGAAGUAGGAAAUGGAGUGCAGCGACCCCAACACCUAAUUAUGAAAAUUGAGGACGACUAAGGCAACAUUAUUGAUAAAUAAUAAUGCCGAGCGAAAUGACCGGAGGGAGCGAAUUUUUGUCAACGGCAGCUGGUGCCGCUGGAUUGACAGCUUUUGUUUUCGUAUUAACUACAAGCUGUAAUUUGCGGCAAAAACACAGCAAUUAACAGGCAAUUGCAGCACGGCAGCCCUCUUUUGUCUUCGGCCCCCAUGGCACACUAAACUAGUUCAGUCGGUCCGUCUCCGCCUCCGUGGCUCCUACCCGGUGCGGUCCGAGGUUCUCGCGUUCGUCUCCGGAUUUGGUGCGACUGCGGAACGCCCAACACACCACACCUUUCAGAACCACUGAUUGCCACACUGGAGAAAAACUCUGGUCGAUGUGACGGUAUUUUAACGAAAUAGUCAGCAUGCAAAUUUCUGAUUGGAAUAGUAACACCAGAUGGUAUUUUUUUUAUUAAUUUUUCGUGAUUUUAAUAUUUUUUAUAGUUUGCUUCUGUGAGGACCCACAAUUUAUUUGUAUCCUUUCUCUUCAAACGUCUUGCUUUAUAAGCAAAUUUCCAAGUGUUCAUUAAAAUUUAAAUCUAUUCGAAGCAACGGUAUUUUAACAAAGUGGACUAAUAGUGAGGAUUCAAAUUUCUGAUUGGAGUAGUACCACCUGAAGGAUUUUUUUUUAUAAAUUUUUUUUGAUUUUAAUAUUUUUAUAGUUUUCUCACUAUUUAAUUGUAUCCUUUUCGAGCAGGAUGCUUAUCUCUUCAAAUUUUCUAGUGUUUAUUCCAAUUUAAAUCGGAUUUCUAGGGAAAUUUGGUUUGUUCGUGGAUUUUGGUAUAAAAUAGAAUCGUUUCAAUCAAUUUAAUAUAUACAAAUCCACUAAUCUUCGCUUUUUUUCUAGCAUAAAACUUAAGAAACUCAAAAUUUAAAUGCAUGUACCAGAAUAAUUUUGAUAAAUGUUGUACGAAACGCACAAAUAUCUGAUCAUAAUGAUUACUUGCAAAUGGAUGAAUUACACUAUUAACUAUUAAUUUCCUAGUUGAAGUAGGGUACAAUUUAUGAUAAAUUAAUGACGAAUAAUUCUAUGCGGAUCUUGUUUUGAAACAUUAUUAAAUUUUAUUAGUUGCAUUUUUUAUUCAUGCGUUUUUUAAGCUUUCCAUGCUCGAUGUACAUACAUAUUUUGCGUUCGAAAGUGUUUUUUUAAAUUAGUUAAGUCAACCCAAUAUUGAACACUAUUAUGAAAUGAUUAAUACGGGGUCAACGAUACGUCGGAUGAUAGUGAUGUUGGAAACACAUUUAAUAAUGUGUGCAAAUGCAUUUUCCCCAGUGCAUUUUCUGUCGUGGGCCGACUUGAGGCAUUAUAAUUAAUUGGAAAUCGGAGUCGAUCAAUCGGAUGGCAACCGCAAAAUUAAUAAGCAUGAAUGAUGCCGACGACGCGAGUGUUCGCAGUAAUUGUGGAUGCGCCUGCACCCGUACUCGAGCUCAUAGUCAAAGUGGAGCAGACCAGACCAGAUCAGACCAAGCCAACCCAGGCCAACCCAGGCCAGAGCUGACGGGCUAAUCAAAUUGCUGGCAAUCAUGGAGCCGUAUAAGCAAAUGUAGCAAUUUCAGUCAAACACCGAGAGAGCCGGCAACUUGAUAUGGCCAAGCUGCAGACGGCAACAACCACUUGUGGCUGCGACGCGAUUUGAUUCGAUUCGAUUCCAUUCCAUUCGAUUCGCCUUAACUGAACUCGACUUGGGCUGGCUGUGGAAACCUCAGUCGAGUCAAUC